UCCUCUAUCCCUUACAUUGCUCUGCACUCAGUGGACACCUUGGAUGUCUUGCAACAUCAGCUCUGGGUACCACCAAGGCCACACAGUGAUGGCCAUUGCUCCUGAUGGGCACUGCUUCUGUCUCUGCUGAGAAUCGAUCCUUCUGAGCACAGCCACCCUGUCAAACACUGGAGCCCUCUAUAUCCAGUCCCAAAAGAUGCCACCACUUCGAAGCACCAUGCUGCUCUGGCCAAUGGUGGAGUUGGGAAGAACACCUGUUUUUUGCUUACUUUCAACUUAGUGGUUCCAAAAAGAAACCCUGAAAACAAACGAACAAACGGACUCAGUGCACGGACACCUAGCCGAGCCUGCGUCUGGGAGGAAUGACAUGCCUUCAGCAUGAAGUAGCUACAAGAAAAAGACAUGUAAUUAAGGAGGGGAAAAAAAUCAGAAACUGGGGCCAUUAAAGAGACUGUGAUAUGAAGAACACGUUGUACAGGAGAUGUGACCACAGAUUUCAGAUCUGAGAGCUGAAAGGAAAUGAAACUAGUUAAAAUUCCACAGCUCAUUCACUCCACAGGAGAAAGAACAUUCCUGGUCGAUGCCACUUGCCACUUCUGUUUUAGAAACAAUUAAAAGAUGCAAAUAUUUGUGAA